GGGGCUGGUCCCCGGCCCCGGGCGGGCGGGAGGGACGGGACGGGGCGCAGUGUUGUUCUAAGGCCGCCAAUAUUGCACUCGUCCCGGCCUCCGGCCCCCCCGGCCUGCCGCGACCCGCUCCC
rnacentral:precursor_RNA from 13 species